GAGGGUAUAGCUCAGGGGUAGAGUGUGUGCUUAGCAUGCACAGGGUCCUGGGUUCAGUCCCCAGUACCUCCA
rnacentral:tRNA from 1 species